rnacentral:rRNA from 1 species
AGAGUUUGAUCCUGGCUCAGGAUGAACGCCGGCGGUGUGCCUAAUACAUGCAAGUCGUACGCACUGGCCCAACUGAUUGAUGGUGCUUGCACCUGAUUGACGAUGGAUCACCAGUGAGUGGCGGACGGGUGAGUAACACGUAGGUAACCUGCCUCGGAGCGGGGGAUAACAUUUGGAAACAGAUGCUAAUACCGCAUAACAACAAAAGCCACAUGGCUUUUGUUUGAAAGAUGGCUUUGGCUAUCACUCUGGGAUGGACCUGCGGUGCAUUAGCUAGUUGGUAAGGUAACGGCUUACCAAGGCAAUGAUGCAUAGCCGAGUUGAGAGACUGAUCGGCCACAAUGGAACUGAGACACGGUCCAUACUCCUACGGGAGGCAGCAGUAGGGAAUCUUCCACAAUGGGCGCAAGCCUGAUGGAGCAACACCGCGUGAGUGAAGAAGGGUUUCGGCUCGUAAAGCUCUGUUGUUGGAGAAGAACGUGCGUGAGAGUAACUGUUCACGCAGUGACGGUAUCCAACCAGAAAGUCACGGCUAACUACGUGCCAGCAGCCGCGGUAAUACGUAGGUGGCAAGCGUUAUCCGGAUUUAUUGGGCGUAAAGCGAGUGCAGGCGGUUCAAUAAGUCUGAUGUGAAAGCCUUCGGCUCAACCGGAGAAUUGCAUCAGAAACUGUUGAACUUGAGUGCAGAAGAGGAGAGUGGAACUCCAUGUGUAGCGGUGGAAUGCGUAGAUAUAUGGAAGAACACCAGUGGCGAAGGCGGCUCUCUGGUCUGCAACUGACGCUGAGGCUCGAAAGCAUGGGUAGCGAACAGGAUUAGAUACCCUGGUAGUCCAUGCCGUAAACGAUGAGUGCUAAGUGUUGGGAGGUUUCCGCCUCUCAGUGCUGCAGCUAACGCAUUAAGCACUCCGCCUGGGGAGUACGACCGCAAGGUUGAAACUCAAAGGAAUUGACGGGGGCCCGCACAAGCGGUGGAGCAUGUGGUUUAAUUCGAAGCAACGCGAAGAACCUUACCAGGUCUUGACAUCCAGUGCAAACCUAAGAGAUUAGGUGUUCCCUUCGGGGACGCUGAGACAGGUGGUGCAUGGCUGUCGUCAGCUCGUGUCGUGAGAUGUUGGGUUAAGUCCCGCAACGAGCGCAACCCUUGUCAUUAGUUGCCAUCAUUAAGUUGGGCACUCUAAUGAGACUGCCGGUGACAAACCGGAGGAAGGUGGGGAUGACGUCAAGUCAUCAUGCCCCUUAUGACCUGGGCUACACACGUGCUACAAUGGACGGUACAACGAGAAGCGAACCUGCGAAGGCAAGCGGAUCUCUUAAAGCUGUUCUCAGUUCGGACUGUAGGCUGCAACUCGCCUACACGAAGCUGGAAUCGCUAGUAAUCGCGGAUCAGCACGCCGCGGUGAAUACGUUCCCGGGCCUUGCACUCACCGCCCGUCA